rnacentral:misc_RNA from 1 species
GUUGAAAUUCCGGCGGUUAAAAUAUCUGGGCACAUGUGUAAAACUCUCCGAACAUCAAGUAUGGUGAGAUUAACAGAGUAAAGGAAGUCAAUAACCGAUUUGAGGUCAGAUAAAGAGGAAGAGACAAUAAGGGGUUGUGAAGAAAGGCAAUGUAAAGAGUCUACACCAAGUGAAUCCAAAAAAAGAAGCUUUUCUUGAAGAUGGAAGUUUUGGGGUGUGGGUGUGGGUGGGGUAGUGGAGAUAAGGGUGGGUGGUUUUGGGUGUUGAGGGUAUGAAAUAGUGGAGGAU